rnacentral:rRNA from 1 species
CCCCAAAACCCCCUGUGAACAUACCAAUUGUUGCCUCGGCGGAUCAGCCCGCUCCCGGUAAAACGGGACGGCCCGCCAGAGGACCCCUAAACUCUGUUUCUAUAUGUAACUUCUGAGUAAAACCAUAAAUAAAUCAAAACUUUCAACAACGGAUCUCUUGGUUCUGGCAUCGAUGAAGAACGCAGCAAAAUGCGAUAAGUAAUGUGAAUUGCAGAAUUCAGUGAAUCAUCGAAUCUUUGAACGCACAUUGCGCCCGCCAGUAUUCUGGCGGGCAUGCCUGUUCGAGCGUCAUUUCAACCCUCAAGCCCCCGGGUUUGGUGUUGGGGAUCGGCGAGCCCUUGCGGCAAGCCGGCCCCGAAAUCUAGUGGCGGUCUCGCUGCAUCUUCCAUUGUUUAGUAGUACCCCCCUCGUCACUGGUACGCGGUGUGAUCAAUUCAUAAACCCCCAACUGUUUUAAGGUUGACCUCUGAUCAGAUAGGAAAACCCCUUGACCUUCCCAACCCCUUAAC